rnacentral:rRNA from 1 species
AUUGAACGCUGGCGGCAGGCCUAACACAUGCAAGUCGAGCGGAGCGGCGGGCGGGUGAGUAAUGCCUAGGAAUCUGACUGGUAGUGGGGGAUAACGUCCGGUCACGGGCGCUAAUCCCGCAUACUAUCAGAUGAGCCUAGGUCGGAGUAGCUAGUUGGUGGGGUAAAGGCCUAACAAGGCGACGAUCCGUAACGGGUCUGCGAGGAGGAUCAGUCACACUGGAACUGAGAGACGGUCCAGACUCCUACGGGAGGCAGCAGUGGGGAAUAUUGGGCAAUGGGCGAAAGCCUGACGCAGCAAUGCCGCGUGUGUGAAGAAGGUCUUCGGAUUGUAAAGCACUUUAAGUUGGGAGGCGGUACCAACAGAAUAAGCACCGGCUAACUACGUGCCAGCCGCCGCGGUAAUUC